rnacentral:rRNA from 1 species
GCAGUUAAAAAGCUYGUAGUURGAUUUYGGGAAGGUCUUUAGUGGUCSGCCCCUUCGGGGAGCGGGUCACUGGCCUCKUAAGUUCCUAACGGUCCUCAUCCGCGAGGGUGGGGAAUCAACCGCUAGGAUCGUUUACUUUGAGGAAAUUAGAGUGUUCAAAGCAGGCGUAACUCGCCUCCGAAUACGUUAGCAUGGGAUAAUGGAAUACGACUUCGGUCUUGUUUCGUUGGUUUCGCUUGGCUGAAGUAAUGAUUGAUAGGGACAGUUGGGGGCAUUAGUAUUUAGUUGUCAGAGGUGAAAUUCUAGGAUUUACUAAAGACUGACCAAUGCGAAAGCAUUUGCCAAGGAUGUUUUCAUUAAUCAAGAACGAAAGUAGGGGGAUYGAAGACGAUCAGAUACCGUCGUAGUCUCUACCGUAAACUAUGCCGACCAGGGAUCCGGAGAGUUUGCAUGGAUGACUCCCCGGGCACCUUGGAGAAAUCAUAAGUGUUUGGGUUUUGGGGGGAGUAUGGUCGGCAAGGCUGAACUAAAGGAAAUGACGGAAGGRCCCCCCAAUAAGU